GUGGGGAAUAUUGGACAAUGGGCGAAAGCCUGAUCCAGCCAUGCCGCGUGUGUGAAGAAGGUCUUCGGAUUGUAAAGCACUUUAAGUUGGGAGGAAGGGCAGUUACCUAAUACGUGAUUGUUUUGACGUUACCGACAGAAUAAGCACCGGCUAACUCUGUGCCAGCAGCCGCGGUAAUACAGAGGGUGCA
rnacentral:rRNA from 1 species